rnacentral:rRNA from 1 species
CGGCGUAGUGAAGCGGCAACAGCUCAAAUUUGAAAUCUGGCCUCACGGUCCGAGUUGUAAUUUGUAGAGGAUGUUUUUGGUGCAGUACCUUUCGAGUUCCCUGGAACGGGACGCCUUAGAGGGUGAGAGCCCCGUACGAUUGGAUGCUUAGCCUAUGUAAAACUCCUUCGACGAGUCGAGUAGUUUGGGAAUGCUGCUCUAAAUGGGAGGUAAAUUUCUUCUAAAGCUAAAUACCGGCCAGAGACCGAUAGCGCACAAGUAGAGUGAUCGAAAGAUGAAAAGCACUUUGAAAAGAGGGUUAAACAGCACGUGAAAUUGUUAAAAGGGAAGGGCUUGUGACCAGACUUUUUCCUUGCGGAUCAUCCGGUGUUUUCACCGGUGCACUUCGCUUGGUAGAGGCCAGCAUCGGUUUUCAUAGAGGGAUAAAAGCUUUAGGAAUGUGACUCCCCCGGGAGUGUUAUAGCCUAUUGUAUAAUACCUUUACGGAGACCGAGGUACGCAUUUUUGUGGAUGCUGGCGUAAUGGUUAUCAGCCACCCGUCUUGAAACACGGACCAAGGAGUCGAACAUUUGUGCGAGUGUUUGGGUGUUAAACCCUCACGCGUAAUGAAAGUGAACGGAGGUGAGAGCCUUAGGGUGCAUCAUCGACCGAUCCUGAAGUCUUCGGAUGGAUUUGAGUAAGAGCAUAACUGUUCGGACCCGAAAGAUGGUGAACUAUGCGUGGAUAGGGUGAAGCCAGAGGAAACUCUGGUGGAGGCUCGCAGCGGUUCUGACGUGCAAAUCGAUCGUCAAAUCUGCGCAUGGGGGCGAAAGACUAAUCGAACCAUUAAACCAGCGGUAAAUUUUAUUUACUAGGUGGUUAAGAGGUGGCCCGCAAGGGCUUGAAGAACAAAAACCUAGGACCGGCUCGAGUUACCCUGUACCUACCCUGUAGCUACCCUGUAGCUACCCUGUAGUUACCCUGUAGCCCGAGUUGGCCCGACACCACUAAAUUGCGGGGACAUCCCACUACUGCUACGGGCUACCGCCGGCCGCUGAAAAGCGUUUCGGCACCAAGAAUAGCGCUCUUGGGUAUGGUAACAACGCCUGUAGCUGGGACGACCUGCAGCCAACCCCGUUUUUUUAGGGGCGAGUUCACUGACUAAACAGUGGUGGGUUGGCACUUUGUGCCAGCUUAAGAUAUAGUCGACCGAGGCCCUGAAAAGGUGCUUAGAU